rnacentral:lncRNA from 1 species
UGAAGUCCACAUACCAGCAGUGUAAUAUACCCGUGUGUUUGGUUCGAAGUCGGAAUCGGUAUCAGAAUCGGAAUAAGAGUUAGCUGGAAACGGAAUCAGAAUGAUUCAUUAUCUCAUUCUGUUUGGUUUGCCACCUGAGUCGGAAUCGGAAUGAACCAUUUUUAUUGCCGGUGUUUGGUUCAAAUAGAUGCCAGAAAUGUAAUCAAAUUAAUAUGCCAAUUUUAUCUUUAUAGUAAGUAUAUUAGUUUAAAUUCAAACUUAAAAUUAUAAUUUAAAUUUUAAUUUGAAUCCAUAAAUUUAAUUUGAAUUUUAAAUAAAAUUUGAAUAAAAAUUUAGUUUUUAAAUUAAACUUAAAUUUAAAUUCAAAUUUAUAAAUUAGAUUUGAAAUGCUUUAUUAAAUUUUAAUUUUAAAUUUAAGUUUAAAUUAAAAUUAAAAUUAUAAAUAUAGUUUUAAACUUAAACUUAUGUUUUAAUUAGAAAAAAAUAACCUUAACAAAGUUAAAUUUAAUCCGAAGAAAUCUAUUCCGUCUAGAUUCAAUUUCUAAUCUGGCCUCCUUGGCCGGAUUGAAAAAAGGGAUAAUUGGAGGAUUUCCAUUCACCUGAGAAUCGAAAUCAAAAUCGGAAUCGGAAUAAGAAUUUUGCAUAUCAAAUACGGACAAACAGAUUCGUCCAUUCUAAUUUCGAUUCCAGAUUGAAAAAGGGACAAAUCAAACACGCCCUGAGAUCGUUUGGUUCACUCUAUUUUAUUCUAUGAAAACAUUAUUUUCAUAAUUUUCGUUUUCAAGACUAUUUGAUGAAAUUUGGACCAAAAAAAAAAAAAAAAACUUGGAGGAAAAAUAAUUUCUUUGGGAAACAAAAUGGACAAAAACUAUACACUUUUCAAUCAGGAAAUUAUUUUCUAAAAUAUUUUUCCGAGAAGCAAGCACCGCAUAAUCUAAUAUUAUAUAUAUAUAAUUAUGUGUAUAAUUUAUUUAACUAUAAGCUAUUUUGAAUCGGCUACUCAAUCUUUUAAAAUUUUAAUUUGGGUAUCCAAUCUGUCAAUUUAUUUGAUUUGAAUCAGUUAAUGACACUUUAAAUUCAAAAUCGAAGCUAAUUGCUUAUUUUGAUGAAUUUAUAGUUGCGUGAAUCGUAUGAAAAAUAUACGAAUUAAAUCUGUAAAGAUAGACAAUACAUUCAAAUUGUGAGGCUAAAGCGUCGCUAGUUAACUCAAAUCAAAUAAAUUUAAAGAUUGGAUAGUAAAAUUAAAAUUUUAAAAGAUUAGAUAGUUGAUUCAAAAUAAUUUAUAUUUCCGAUAAUUUCUGCACAUUUUUUAUUUUAAAAUCUAAGUAAAAAGGAGAGCAUUAUUUGUUAAUAUUGUACAACACAAAUAUUAGAGUAGGAGCAGGCCAAAACUUGGAGGUGCCAAACAAACGGUGCGGUGGCACAUUAAUUUUAAUUUUAUUUUUGGUCCCAAUUUGCCAUUCUAUUCGAGACGAAAACGAAUUUUUGACGGAUCAGAGCAUAUCAAAUCAAGAAAGUGAUAUCCUACACCUCGCCCUUUCCACUCUAUUUACUUGACUGAUCAAAAUAAAUUAUAUAUUUUUUUAUUUUUAAGUUUUAUUUAGAUUUAUUAUUUAAUUCGGAGCAGAUCAGGGCGGCGUGGGAGCACCGCCUACCUGAAUCCAUUUGCAUCCUAUUCUCAACGGCAAAGGCUUAAUUUCGUAUUAAGGCCCAUCUGACGCUAUUAAAUAAAAGGGUAAACUUCAGGUACCAUUCCUAUGGUUUUGCACUUUCUCACUUUAGUGCCAUGUAUUUUAAAGUAUAUCAAGUUAGUGGCCUGUGGUUUCAUUUUUAUCUCUUCGUCAGCUUCUCCGUUAAUAUUUCGUUAAAUUAUAUAUAAAAAAUUUCAGAUACUCCACCUAAGUUUAUCGAAUAUUCAUUUUAGUACUCUUUAGUUUUAAAUUUGUCACUGAUUAACGAAAAAAAUUAGUAAAAUCGAUAAUAAAAAAAUAAAAAUAAAACCACGGGACACUAAAUUGAUACACUUUAAACCACGGGAUGCCAAAGUGAGAAAGUGUGAAACCACAGGGGUGGUAUUUGAAAUUUUUCUUAGAUAAAAUAAAGUUGGAGUAAAAUCAUAUAAAGAUGUAUUUUUACAGUAUCCGAUGAUAUCUCAGAAAAUAUAUUGUAACAGACUCAUCACAAAAAUACGAAACACAAUAUUAUAUGUGAAAAUAAAUAUAAUUUUUUCCUUUUUUCUUUUUU